GGGCCGUUAGCUCAAUAGGUAGAGCAACUGACUCUUAAUCAGUAGGUCCUCGGUUCGAUCCCGAGACGGCCCACCA
rnacentral:tRNA from 1 species